AAGGUAAUCAAAAAGAACAUAAACGAGAAAACUCUGUAAGAGUGUGUCCAUUUAUCAAAAUAGGCAUAUCAACAUAGCAGCAAACAUCUGAGUUAAAAAGCUUGGGUUAAAAUUUUCUAAUCAAAAUGAGCCCUAAACUGUCAUAGAAGAGAAAUCACAUUCGAUAUAGACUGUUUGUAAACCUUGCAUUAGAAUUUUUCUAGAAGUUUGACAUCUUAAGUUAAUUAUCAUAUCCAAUAUUUUCUUUUUCAACUUUUAAUAUAUUUAAAAGUUUAUGCUUUUUUUUUUAGAAUUUUUUUAAAGUCCAUUUUUAUUUCACUCCCUGUUCUUUUAUUUUCAUUUUAUUAAUAGAAAUGAGAAUGUGCAAGAAUAAGCAGUUUGCUAAUUGAUUGUGUAUUUUUCUGUCAUAUGCUUUCAAUCGUUCUGCAUUAAAAAAAUCGUACAUGUGAAUAGGAAGGAACCUUGACGUGGUUCAUGUGCUUUAAAACAAAUACCUUCCAGACAGAAACUUUUUGAUACCUUGUGUAAUACGUUGUUUACAUAGAAUGCGUUGAGGAUUUUGAGAGAUAAAGGGAAUAAGCAGUAUGAAAAAUAAAUGCUUAAGAAGAUGUAUAACAACGAUAAUGAACUUCAAAUAUUUUUUUUAAUGUUAUUGUUAAUUGCAGUUAAUUUAUAUUAACAUAUUAUUUAUGUAACAGUGUGUAAGAUAUAUAUGAAAUUGUGUAUUUAAUUUUAAAUUUUUUUUA